CUACGUAUAAGAGGUCCCGCCUGCCCUGUGACUAUAUGUUCAACGGCCGCGGUAUUUUGACCGUGCAAAGGUAGCGCAAUCACUUGUCUUUUAAAUAAAGACCUGUAUGAAUGGCAUAACGAGGGCUUAACUGUCUCCUUUCCCUGGUCAAUGAAAUUGAUUUCCCCGUGCAGAAGCGGGGAUGUUAAUAUAAGACGAGAAGACCCUGUGGAGCUUAAGAUAAUAGAGGGAUUUUAUGUAGUAAACCAAAAGAGGAUACAAACAAGUUCACACUCCCUCCAAUGUCUUCGGUUGGGGCGACCGCGGAGUAAAAAACAACCUCCAUGAGGACUAGGGUGUAACCUUAAAUCCCAGAACGACAGUUCAAAGAAACAAAAUUUUUGACCUAAGGAUCCGGCAUGGCCGAUCAACGAACCGAGUUACCCCAGGGAUAACAGCGCAAUCCCCUUCAAGAGUCCCUAUCGACAAGGGGGUUUACGACCUCGAUGUUGGAUCAGGGUAUCCUAAUGGUGUAGCCGCUAUUAAGGGUUCGUUUGUUCAACGAUUAAAACCCU
rnacentral:rRNA from 1 species